rnacentral:rRNA from 1 species
UACAGAGGUCUCGAGCGUUGUUCGGAUUCAUUGGGCGUAAAGGGUGCGUAGGUGGCGAUGUAAGUCUGGUGUGAAAUCUCGGAGCUCAACUCCGAAAUUGCAUUGGAUACUGCGUUGCUUGAGGAUUGUAGAGGAGAGUGGAAUUCACGGUGCAGCAGUGAAAUGCGUAGAUAUCGUGAGGAAGACCAGUUGCGAAGGCGACUCUCUGGGCAAUUCCUGACACUGAGGCACGAAGGCCAGGGGAGCAAACGGG